rnacentral:lncRNA from 1 species
CAGAUUAUAGAUUUUACCAGGAAAUGAUGUCAUCUUCAUGUAAAGUUGUUACACCUUGUGUAUUCGGCGUUAUCAUGCUGUAAAUGGGCUAAUUCGAUAGGAAGAUAAUUUCUAUGAGAUAUUUAAAUGAUGCGAUAGUUAUACGUUAAGAUUGGAAGUCAUUUGAGUUGUGAUUAAAAAUUCGACAAAGAUCGCGCGCAAGUUACGGGUUUAAAUUUUACUGGAAUUUGGAUAAAAUGUUGAUGACCUUUUCUCUCAAUAUACUGAGAGUUAUGAUGUGUUCUACCUACUGAAUCGAAGGUCUAUGAGUCUAGUUUCCAACGCAAUAAACCGUUCGUUAAUACGACUUCGGAGUAGAGAGAUAUUAACAUUUUAGUACAGGGGUGCACACUGUUACGGGAACAGUGUGCCUAGUCGGGUUUAGUCAAAAUUUCUUUAUUUAAGUCAAUUUUUAAAACAGCACCCCUUCGUUUUAUCCUCUCCAAAACAGAACCAAAAACCUAGGGAUUUCCUCUCAAACUCCUCCCAUCCAUCUAGCCAAGCAUAACAACAAUUUAGUCAUCCUCAAGAUGGAGAACACCAUGGUAGCUUCGGAAUCGUGAAUUCUUCGGUGUUUCACUUUUCAUAGCAAGACUCCGCCUUGUAAUUUCGAAUUUUGAGUAAUUCUGGUCACAUAAGGUAUGAUUUAACUUCCUCUUUGAUCUUUGUAAACUUCUACCAUAAGAAUUCUUAAAAAAUAGUUGAAACCUCUAUAGAAAUAUUCUUGAUUUUUUUUUAAGAAACCUCUCUUAAUAUGGUUUGAAUGUUGGGGUUGUUCUAUAUGGUUUUAUUGUGUUGUUUGGAUCUGUGAAGACAUGGAUGGAAUUCUGUUGAUGAGGAGAUGUAGUAAAGUAAAAUUUGGUGGUGUGUUGGGGGGAAAUUAAUCUACAAAAGAGUCUACAAAUUCAUGACCACAAGUUAUUCGCGUAAAUGUCUAAAUGAAGAAUUAUAUAAGCUAUGAGCUUGAAUUUGAUUUUGAAUGGUUUGUAUUAUGUAGGAAAUCAUUCCUAAGGCUUUUGAGGUCUUGGAAACAGUAUAUAACUCCAUCGACAAGGUAUGUAGGGCUUUCGCUAUACUUUUCGGCAUGACUAGAAUUCGAAUAAAUGUUUAUCGAAUUGUCUCGUCGGAUUCGAGUUAUUUCGCCUUCAACUUAUAAAGAUGCUUAGACCUGAUCUUUUCUCAUAGAUUGCUUACUCUAGAGGAUAUCUAUGAAUUCUCGGAUUUCCUUGUUCCUUGCUUAAAAAGAACUAGAGCCUUUUUACUCGUUCUCCUUUCGAUGUUCAUAUAAAUCAUGAAUAAGUAACAUAUACUUCAAAGGUGCUCAUAAUACACAACUCUCAUGUUCUUAGUACUUGUUGGCUCGUAGUUGAAAAUUAAAUAUUUUUAGCCACAACCAUAAUAGUCGGGGAAUAAUGAUGAUAGGCCACUUCGACUCUUCUUAGAAUUCGUCUUUUAAGGUUGGUUUCACAUUGAACCUAUAUAAUUCAUGAUUUAGUAUAUGUAUGUAUUUACUUUCAUUACCGAGCCGCACUAUAGACGGCCGGGUAUGAUACAUAUUGUGUAACCACUGAUCAGUUGGGAUUACCGAGCUUCACGUGGUCGGGUACGAUUCUACCGGGCCUUUAUUAUGGCCGGGUAUAUUAUGGAUAUUAUAGCCCCACAGAGGGAUUUAUUAUUAUAUAAUGUGAUAUAUUAUAAGUAGCGAUAGUGAACGACGAUGUCACGAGCAUACAUUUAUAUCCAUGUUGAAUUUUAGUUUCCUACCGAGGCUAGUUUCAGAAUUCAAAUUGUCUCUAUAUCUCUUCUCUUGUUAAUUAUAUUUUUCAUGUUACACUUGUCGCCCUACAUAUUCAGUACAUAUUUCGUACUGACGCAUUUUUAUGCGCUGUGUUCAUGCCCACAGGUUCGAAUAGACAGAGCGGCGUGCCUCCUCAGUAGGACCCCAGGAUCAGCAUUGGGUUUCGCACUCCACUUCUUCGGAGUUGCUGACUUUGAGUUCAUAGGU